UGGGGCUCUUAGAGGCUGCAGAGGAGUGCCCGCACACUGCAGGGAUUUGUCAGUUGAUGGAGACCAACCAUUGCCCAACCAUGUCCAGUUAAAGCCUAAUUGUAAGAGCAAUAUUUUGUGUGAAACCUGGUGCUACACAGCUAAGAAUCCUCAGGGUGUGCCUGCCCC
rnacentral:lncRNA from 12 species